rnacentral:rRNA from 1 species
CCUACGGGAGGCAGCAGUGGGGAAUAUUGGGCAAUGGGCGCAAGCCUGAUCCAGCAACGCCGCGUGAAUGAAGCAGUAUUUCGGGUUGUACACUUCUUUUGUCAGGGAAGAGUGGAAGACGGUACCUGACGAAUAAGACACGGCUUACUACUUGACAGACGCCGGGGUAAUUCGUAGGUGGCAAUCGUUGUCCGGAUUUACUGGGUGUAAAGGGCGUGUAGCCGGGUAGACAAGUCAGAUGUGAAAUCCUGCGUCUUAACCGCAGAACUGCAUUUGAAACUGUUGAUCUUGAGUACUGGAGAGGCAGACGGAAUGCCUAGUGUAGCGGUGAAAUGCGUAGAUAUUAGGAGGAACACCAGUGGCGAAGGCGGUCUGCUGGACAGCAACUGACGGUGAGGCGCGAAAGCGUGGGGAGCAAACAGGAGUAGAUACCCCUGUAGUC